rnacentral:misc_RNA from 1 species
GUGGACUUGCAGCCCUAUCAAGUAAGUGUGUAUUUGUGGGGAUGAUGCCUAUAGAUGAUCUGUUUCUUGAUGUUGUUGAUUCCUUGAAAUCUUUUCUAGCCUGUUACAUCAAUUAAAGUGAGCUUAUCUUUGGAAUGCAUAACCUAUUUGAUCUUCUAGUAAUAUGUUUUCGUGUUGAGGUGCCUUCUUAUGGUACUUUUCUAAUUCUAUGUGGGAUAUUUCAUCUUUUAUUUGAAAUCCUGGUUAACUUGGUUCAAAAAAAAAAGGUAUUGUUGCUUGAGAGUUGGAAAGCAAUGACCAUGGUAACUG